UCCAUAUACAAGACAUUCUUUUAAUUGAAUCGGCACUGAAUUGGGAUACGAAUCCUAGGGAUUAAACCAGUUUUCGCCUACAUUUAAGAUAAUCCUUCUUUACUUUCGCAUCAAUCAUUUAACAUGUGACUUGACAUAUCUUAGCACAUUUUGAAAUCCCCGCCUAGGACUCCUUUGGACAGAUGAAGCCCAAGGGAAGUCGCAGCCAUCGCCGCUGUCUGCUCUUCAAUUUGCCCCCUUUAAUUCUACAAAAUAUCUUUCUGUUCUUAAAAUACUGAUACAUACGCACCUACACCAAUAUGCUCGGUUAUAUGUUUCUCGCGUCAUGCGGCAGCGCACCUCGCCCGAUUUACACUUCUGCCUGGAAUACGCGAGCAACAAAUUGUUAGAUCUAACUAAGCCCUUAUUGUAAAAAGUCCUGGAUUUUCUCUUAUUAACAGUUCAAAAAAUUUAAAAUUAAAAAGAAGCAUUUCUUUAUUUA